rnacentral:rRNA from 1 species
UACGAAAGGUGCAAGCGUUACUCGGAAUUACUGGGCGUAAAGCGCGCGUAGGCGGUCUUGUGUGUCGAUUGUGAAAGCCCUGGGCUCAACCUAGGAACCGCAGUUGAAACUGCAAGACUUGAAUACUGGAGAGGGUGGGGGAAUACCUAGUGGAGAAGUGAAAUUCGUAGAGAUUAGGUGGAACACCAGAGGCGAAGGCGCCUGCCUGGCCAAGUAUUGACGCUAAGGCGCGAAAGUGCGGGGAGCAAAC